CGGCCGCUGAGCUGAGAGGCGGGUACUGUGACUGUAACCGGUGGCCUGGCCCCUCCCUGAGCUGCUGCCUGGGCUUGGCUUGGGGUGCGGGGGGCGGGGAGGGGGUCUGGGGAGACAAGAUUCAUAAACAGGUGACAGAGGGAAGUGCCGAGAGGAGAAGCAAGAGCCUGGGAGAACGACAGCGCCCGGUCUGCCCCUCCGAGGGACCCCCACCCCCGCCCGGUCUGGCCCGGGCCCGCGGCUGCAGCGUGUGGGGUCUCAGUGGGACCAGCGGACGUCACAGCAGGGGCACGGGGCCUGAGACGCCAGGCGCCUGGCAGGGCCCACACUGGGUGGGCGCACCCCGCCCCUGCCCACCGCCCCCCCGGGAGCUCCCCCUCCCCCUCCUGCGGCUGCAGCUUUCCUGGUCACGGGGUGAGCCUUUCCUCUCUCUCCUCCGCCUCCUUUCUCACCACAAAGGGCGUUCAUGUCACAUCCCUGAAGCUGAGAGGCCUGAGGGGCGGGACCCAGUCAGCGAGGCCCCCAGCGCCGGCCGCAGGGAGCCGGCCCGCCCCUGCGCUGGGAGGCCCGGCGCAGAGCCCUCACGCCGGGAGGGCAGAAGCGCGCCCUGGUCUCCCUCCCCGCCCGAAGACGCCGGGGCGGAGCCGGGAGGGGCGGAGCCGGGGCGGCGCGGGGAGGGGCGGGGCCGGCAGCGCGGAGGCCGGGCGAGCGCGGAGCCAACCGCGGAGAGGCGGCUGCUGCCGGCGGGCCGAGCGCGCGUCGGAGGGAAGCGGGGUCGGGCACAGAGCCCUUACGGACCCCGAGGCUGCCCUCAGGUAGACGGACCCCAGAAACAGAGUUCCCCAAAGUGGACGUUUUCCGGGCGCCUUCCUCCUGCCGGCGGGAGGGCGGGUGAGCUCAGCCGUGUCUGUGGCGGAGACUCGGAGGUCAGGGGAGAGGGCGCCCGACCGACGGGCCUGUGACCGCCCGCACCCCUUCCCCGGCCGCGUCCCGCCCUCCUGAACACCCUCCGCCCGCCCCGCAAGGACGGUGAGUCGCCUCCGCCAACUGAAGCCUCUGCAGGAAAGCUCUCUGUACCCAUCCGCGCUGGGCGCGCACCUGGACCAGUGAAGGAACGUUACAAGGCCGGGCAAUCCCCAAGCCUGCUUCCCCGGCUCACCUGAUGCGCCCCCGAAAUGCUUCACACACGGCCUGAAGUCAACGUCUGUUCCUGGGAUGACAGAUCCAAGGCCGUGUCCGCGCCCCUCCACUGCUCUUGUCCGGGCUGGAGUUCUCAGAACCACACUGCCUCUCAGGCUGAUCAGAGAAAAUCAGGCGGUCCCAAACACCCACAGCUGCGGCUCGCCUGUGCGAGGCAAUGGUGGAAGGUGUCCAGUAAAUAAACACCAAGGACCUCCAAGAUACUCGGAGCGAGGCAUCGAUGCCUGAAGGGACACUCAUGUGCUGACCCGUGCAUAGACGUGUCUGAAAAUGUCAUCUCAUCCUGCCCACAUCUGUGCUCAGUCCCCACAAGUCUGCACUGUACCUCCAGCUCCAACCAUCACCACGUGGAUCACAAACCCUCUGCUUGGCCUAACAGGAACUUGGCAGAGGCUUCAUUCUAGGAGCCCUGGCUUAGUGCAGGGCGCCAGGACAUGGCCACUUGGGAGCGGGUCUGCUCGGCCUGUGGGUGCCAUCCACACACUAAGCCAGGUCCCAACUCGAGUUCCAAAUCCACAUCCUUCCCCAGGAGCUGUAGGCCCAAGUGUUUCAGUCCUCAGGCAGGUUGUGGUUCUGCCCCGGGAGCUCAGCCCCAGAACCGUGGG
ensembl:lncRNA